rnacentral:lncRNA from 1 species
GGAGAGCUUCGUGCCAGCUGGCCGGCUGCUGGGAAGUUUUUUUUAUUGUGUGACUCAUUACCUCCUCCAUUGAGGGAACACAAAGCUCGCACUCGCCGUCCUCUCACCUCCGCGGCGGGGUCAAGGUCGCGGAGGGGGGGAAGGGGCCAAUCGGUGCGCAGCGAUCAGGGUCACGGGACUCCUGUGAAUCGUUAGGAAGUGUCUCCGUUCACCCGGUGUUUGCAUAGUUACCCCGGCAACGCGGCGGCCAUUGAUUUGAACGUCCUCAAAGUCUCAUUUCGUUCUUUUAUGGCCCCUCGUGUUUGUUUGAACUGAACACUGAACGCCUCGUUUAUCUCCUCCAUGAUGUCUUUAUUCAUUCAGCUCGUUGUUCAGUUGAAGAAGAAGAAGAUGUUUUUAGUUUGGUGUGUUUUAUUUUGAAAGGGCCUUUCGAGGCGGAUCAAAGACUGCUUUAUUCUGACGGAUCAGAAUAACACAAUGAAAUCAAAAGCACAUGCAGGUAGUCGACAGAGAGGCCAGGAUGAAGGUGCAGGGGGGGGGGGGGGGGGGGGGGGGGGGGGGGGGGGGGGUAGCUGCUGUGUUGUUCUGGACCUGGAAACAUAAUAAACCGCAUACCGAGGCAGAUUACGACGGCUUAUCUGAAGCAGCGACCGUUUCUCAGCUUUUCUUUGAGCUCGUCUGUUUUGGAUUCCUGGUCUCCGAAAGGACUUUUCUUUUGAAAAUACACUUCCUGUUUGACUGCGCUGGCACAGAGUGAAAGCUGCCGAGCAGGAGAAGAUGGACCUCUCCGUUGUGGUCGUGGAGAACACUCGCUGAGAGUUCUUCAUCUUCUUCCCACAGACUUGUUUUAAUGACCUCUGACCCCAGAAUACCUGAGAAACGUGAUCCAGGAUGAAGGUAUCCAGUGAGGAGGAGUGAUCCACCUUCACGCUCCUGAUCCGUGGGGCACCUUUUUGAUUCAUGGCCUCGUGUGAAGGCCACAGAUCUCAAGUUAUCGUAUCCUGGACUCGGAGAGUGAAGAUUUUCAUAAUAACGAACCGAUGAGCGGAGUUACGGUCGGAUCCGAUUCCUUUGAGAUGUUUGGAGCGACACUUUAAACCUUUUGAUCGUAUCGGAUUGCGUCACACGCAGCUCAGAUUUCCUGCUGAACAGACGGUUAUGAAAGGAAAGGUAUCACCAUGAACCUUCACCAGAUUAUUUAUUGUAUUACAAGUUUUACGAGAUGUUGUGUGUAAAUAUGCAAAUGAGGCGUCAUGUAAUGGUGAAUGUAG